AUUGAACGCUGGCGGCAUGCUUUACACAUGCAAGUCGAGCGGUAACAGGGUGCUUGCACCGCUGACGAGUGGCGAACGGGUGAGUAAUGCGUCGGAACGUGCUGAGGAGUGGGGGAUAACGCAGCGAAAGUUGUGCUAAUACCGCAUACGUACUGAGGUAGAAAGUGGGGGACCUUCGGGCCUCACGCUAUUCGAGCGGCCGACGUCUGAUUAGCUAGUAGGUGAGGUAAAGGCUCACCUAGGCGACGAUCAGUAGCGGGUCUGAGAGGAUGAUCCGCCACACUGGGACUGAGACACGGCCCAGACUCCUACGGGAGGCAGCAGUGGGGAAUUUUGGACAAUGGGCGAAAGCCUGAUCCAGCCAUGCCGCGUGUCUGAAGAAGGCCUUCGGGUUGUAAAGGACUUUUGUCAGGGAGGAAAUCCCUAGUGCUAAUAACACUGGGGGAUGACAGUACCUGAAGAAUAAGCACCGGCUAACUACGUGCCAGCAGCCGCGGUAA
rnacentral:rRNA from 1 species